AUGCAGGUGAGCUAGGGACUCAGAGGGGUGGGGCAUUACUCCUAGUUGGUUAUUAAUUAAACGGGACUAUAUCCGAGACUAGGUGUUAGUUAAUGGAGAACUAAGGAGUCCUGUGAACCCUGUGAGGUGGCUACUGAGAUCCCAGCCUGGCAGAGCAGGCUGAUGGAGCAGUGAGGGCACCAGCGAUAAUGUUCUGUGAUUCUCUAUUGCACUCAGGACCUGCAGAGACACACUCAGCCUCUCCACUUGAGCUCCACUGGCUCCCAUGGUGCACUUUGGCUCUACCAGGCAUGCUCUUGCCUUAAGACAUUUGUGCUCACUGUCCUCUCUACCUGGAUCCCUCUUACCCUAGAGAGCCUUCUGACAGGUUUCACUCUCUCAUUUCUUCACAUCUUUGCUCUAAAGUAACUUCAUCUUCAUGAACUUUUCCCUGACCACCCUACUAUAAAUUGCAACCCUCCCCACUCUUCAUGCUAAUAUAGUCUUACUAUGGUGGCCAUUGCCGUCUACCUUCCUACGUAACUUACUAAUGAGAAGGUAAGUGUCACUGGGGCAGAGAUUUGCUUUAUAUGUGCUCUGGUGUAUCCAAGUGGUGGCACCUAGUGGGCACUCAUUGUGGCCUUUGUCUUUCUUCACUCCACAGGACACCAUUGGCACUGCAUUCCCCAUUGAAUGAUGCCCCCGGGAACACAGCUUUACAGACUUCAAUGUGAAUACUGCCCCCUAGAAUUGUGCAAUUUGGCAGUACAGAGCCUAAUAUUUGUUGAAAAGAGGCCACAGGCGAUCCACUCUCUCUGUUCAUCUUCCUGAUCCAGUGGCCUCUGAAAUCCUUCUGGCGACUUCUAAUUGUAAACCUUCUCAUACUUGAAACCUUCCCUGUGUCAGGAUGAGGAAGCUGGUAUGAUGAGUGGGCUGAUUCCGUCUGUUUGCAGUUUAUUAUCAAACUUGGACAUCUUAUUUCAGAGAGAUACAAGAAAGGCACUCGAUAAGCUGUCUGCAGCAGUUUCUCCUGAGGGGUCUGCCAAAAACGGCGUGGGAUUUCAGGGUCUGGUUUUCUUUGCCUUCUCCAGGUCUGUUACAUUUCCCAGAAUGGUUCCCAGUGCUGGAGAUAAUUCCUUUUCGGAGAACCUACAUUUCUCACCUGCUGAUUGCAAUUAGCCACUACCAGCUGGGGCCUGGUGUGCAGCUGAAAAGCUAACAAGAAGUGGAGACCACGCGGAACCCAGACAGGGCAUAGGAUGUGCAUAAAUAAGCAACGGUGCCUGUGUUUAUGAGAUGCUCCUGUGAAUUCAAGGCUUCCCCACCCUCUGCAUAACUCUCCCUCUUCUGGCUUUGUGCUGCACACCCCUACCCUAACUAUAUUUUUUGUCUCUGGUUUCGUAGCCUACACUUAACAUCACAGUCACGAAUUUACCACUAAGUACAUUUUGUUAGGCAAUAAACAGCCUUGGAAGAAAAAUGAAAUCCGACUAGGACUUCUGUUCUAAUAAUGUUUGUGAGCUGUGGUGGAUUCAGGCAGGCCCCACAUGCAGGUCUUAGAGCUAACCUUGGCUGUGGGGGCUGGCGGGGCUGGGAGAGGGCUCAGGGACCCCCAACUCAACUCCCUUAUUUUAUGAGGGAGGAUACUGAAUCCCAGAAUGGGAGCAUGGCCUGUCCAAAGUCUUAAAAGGAAGUCACAGGACUGGAUGAAGCCCAUGUCUCCCGACCCCCAGCUUAGGGCUUUAAACACUGCUUUGCUUUCAAACAUCACGGGCAGCAGAUUGGUAGUUUGUGAGGAAAGCACCAAGGAGACUCCUGAGUGCUAGAAGGCAGUUUCUGUUGAACAAUGUGGUCUCCAACCCUAGGCAAUCUUUCUUUCCUUCCUCACGGACCAGGCAUGUCCCCUGUGCCAACGUUGCACCCUUUUCAUUCAGAGUUGAUACCCAUGUUUCCGUAGCUCACAGCUGCUGAACCCAAAUCCCUACUUGCUGCCUAAGGGGAAUGCUCUCCACCUUUAGAGCUGUCUUGGGUUUGUGCUGCAGGGAACAGCAGAGAACAGACACGCAAGCCGGGGGAACUUAGCAGCUGUCCCUGCGUGGUAGCUCUGCGGUGUAAAUGCAGGGAGGCCAGCCUCGUGAGGUCUGUGGCUUCUGGUGCAAUCAUAUCUACUGGCUGGGGAUGAGCUGGAUUUUUUCCAGCCCUCUCCACUCAGAGGAUCAGCCAUUCUAUACCCAACUCAGCUUCCACCAGGAGAGGCCAUCUUGAAGGAUUUAGAGUCGGGGAGUUAGACCGGCUUCCAGGUAGCAAGCAGUAAAGAAAUGUACCGGGACUUUGGACUCCAAUUCUGGCUUUGUUCUGCGGUGGGCAUGCCUCUCGGCCUCUGAUUCCUUGUACGUAACAUGGAGACUCAUAAUGCAUAGUUCAAUGGGCUUUUCUGAGAGGGUAAGGGAAGGAGUCAAAAAUAGGUUUGCUAUAAGUGUUCACUUUACUUCCCUCUAGUACUAAUUUCUGUUUUACUGAUAAGGAAAACUGAGGCCAAGGGAAGUAGAAAUACUCUCCCAAGGCCACAGGCUUUUCUAUUGUCUCCAGCCACCUGUUAGUCUCUGUCAGGCACUCGGGGAAAAAAAAACUGCAAUGAACUUCACUAACACAAAAUCCUUUCUCCAAAAAUAAGUGGUUCUACAUGCUGGUAAAUAUUUAACAAUUAGCUGGGGGUUUGGAGGAGGAAAGGCAGGAGAAAGCUCUGCUUUGUAGGCUUGUUGAUUUUUAUUUUAAGAGAACUGUAGAUUCACAUGCUGUUGUAAGAACUGUUAAUGAGAGAUGACCUGUACCCUUCAUGCAGUUACCUCCAAUGGUAACAUCUUCAAAACUAUAAUAGUGUUACAACCAGAAUAUUGACAUGAUAUAAUCCACGAAUCUUUAUAUUUUCCCAGUUUUACUUGUACUCAUUUGUGUGUAUAUGUGUGUGUAUUUAGUUCUAUACAGUUUUAUCACAUGUGUAGGUUCCUAUGACCACUACCUGUAAAUUCAGUCAAGAUACAAAAUAAUUCCGUCACCGCAAGAACCUCUCUGUUACAAUCUUUACCUCCCUGCUGCUCUAACUCACCUUGUCAUUGAACCCUGACAACCUCUAAUCUGUCCUCCACUUAUUUAAAAAAUUUCAUCAAUUCAAAAUGUUAUAUAAAUGGAGUCACACAUAUGGAAUCUUUGGCAGUUGUUUUUUCACUCAGCAUAAUUCUGUCAAAUUUCAUCCAACGUGUGUGUAUCAAUAGUUAAUUCCCUUUUAUCGUUAAGUAAUAUUCUGUGGUAUGAAUGUGCCACAGGUUGUCUAACCAUUCACCUGCUGAGGGAUACCAAGGUUGUUUACAGAUUUUGGCUCUUGUGUAUAAAGUUACUGUGAAUAUUCAUGUAUAGGUUUUUAUGUGCACA
ensembl:lincRNA